GGGAAGAUACCAAAGUGGCCAACUGGGGCAGACUGUAAAUCUGCUGUCGUACGACUUCAGAGGUUCGAAUCCUCUUCUUCCCA
rnacentral:tRNA from 1 species